UUACGGCCUUAUCACGUUGAAACACCGGUUCCCGUGUGAUCACCAAAAUUAAGCAACGUCGAUCCUGGUUAGUAGCCAGAUGGGUGACCACUUGAAAAUAACCAGGAGCUGGA